GUUUUAAUAAGUUAAAAAAACUAUUGGUCUUGUAAAUCAAAAAUAAGCAUUCUUUUAAAACU
rnacentral:tRNA from 1 species